rnacentral:lncRNA from 1 species
GGGGCGGGCAGAAGUGUCCAGCCCGGGUCCCAGCCGGCACUCGCGCCUGGCAUGAGUGUGCUUGUGCGCGUGUGUGAGUGCGUGUGCCUUAUUUCUGGUGAGGAUUUGGAGAGCCACAUUUGUUUCUUUAAAAUAAAUACAUUCUCAAAUAUAUGUGUGUAUAUUUUGAACUUGAUGCUUCAAAAUUGACUUGCUGAAGAGUAGGGAGAGUGGAGGCACCAUUUAAUCUCUCCUGCAACUGCUCCCCCUUUCCAGGCUCGUGCAUCUCAAUUCUUGCUUCUUUUCCUGCCCUCCCCUCUUCCCCAACCCUGCCUAUCGCCGGCCUCAUUGCUCCAGUUCUUCCUCACGCUGGACCAGUCUGUGCUGAUGAGCUUGCAAGGUCACUGCCUGGGGAGGGGGAGGGGAGGAGGUGCUCACGUCAGCAAAGAUGUCAUAUCGCCCUCGGGGUUCCUGUGGUUUUACUAUGAGAUCCUGCCCAAACCGAAGGACAAAUCUAAACGUUUGGUUAGCAUGGCCAUUUUAGGCUGAAAAGUCACGGAUAACCUAAAGGAUUGUGGAUUCUAGAUGUUGGUCAUGUAGGAUAGAAAGAUAUAUGUUUUGAGUUUGAUGCCUUAGGAUUAUAUGGAGAUGGGAGCUUGGUGCUCUGCCUUAGCAAAUAGGGUUGAGGCAAGAGGUGGAGUCCUAGCCUAUUUUGAAGAUAGAGUGAGUUAUAGAUGGUGGUAGAAAUUUUAAAGUCUGUGGAAAAGAGAGUGAGAGGAGAGAAUGAGAAGAAAGCCUUUAUCUUUGCAAUCUGAAAAACUGAAGGUUGCUGAGAUGUGGAUAAUCACAGAUCUCAGAGCCCUUGUGGCUGAAGGAGAUAAGAACUGUAGAACGUGAUAAUGACUUGAGUUUUUUCAAAUGGUUCUCAGUGGAGAGGAUCUGAUAUUUCACCAAGGUAGAGAGGCCCUGUGUCUAAUUAGUAGUAGGAGAUGUUUCAGGCCUGAUGGAUGAGAUCUUAGCCACAAAGAUCUUAUGGUUUUCUAUGUAAACCUAUAUUUCAGAGCUUAACCUAGAGUUCCAGUCCUAUAAAUUCUGUUUUACUUUUUUUCACUGAGUUGCUUAGGGCCUUCCUAAAUUACUGAGGCUGGCUUUGAACUCGUGAUCCUUCUGUCUCAGUCUCCUAAGCCGCUGGGAUUACAGGCUUGUGCCACCACACCAGCUAAAUUCUGUUUUACUUUAAGACACUUUGGCUUUUACUCUAAACAUUUCUACACAUUUCUUUAUAUAAUGAAUUGUUUUUAUCCACAUCCCAUUUCAUUUCUCCAUUUCUCUGCCUUUUUCAUUCUGCCUAGGAGGAGCUGAGCUCAGCUGUAUAAUAAUGCCCCACCUUCUGGAGUAUGCUCAUGACUCCAGCAGUUGGGAGAACCAAAGGACUGUUUGGGGUUGUUAAACACUAGUGAUUCCCAGAAAUGAGUGAGUGUAUGACAUUCUCGGAACUUGGUGAUGGGGGGAUAUCUCUAUCAAAAGCCAGGAUUGUGGAAAAGUGCAGACUAGUGGCAGACAAGGGAAAAGAUAACCUAAUUUUUAGCAGGUGCUGUCAUGAAAGAGGUGUCUCUAGGUUUACGGAGAGUGAAUUGUUAUGGGCCCUGGCGGCUCUGGAGUAGCAGCUGCUAGCACUGUGCGGUCACCAAGCAGGGGAGGGGCUGUAACUCUUCUAUAAAUAGUGCUAGGAGCAAGAGUCACUAUGGAGAUAAAACUGAAUCCUAUUACCUGUAGGUCCUGCAUUGGGAGCAAGAGAAAAAAGCAAUAUUUUGAGGAUGUGAGGCAUUGCAACUAGGUCUUGUUUAUUAUUAGGUAGGGGAAAAAAGAUAGAACUUCUACUCAUAAUCUAAACCAAAUAGGGCGUUAAGUAAACUGGGGGUGUGUGUGUUUCUAUAUGUAUGGGAGUGCACACAGCAGCAGAUGAAGGAGUGGUGUGUGUGUUUUGUAGUGUAAUGGGAUUCUCUGUGUGACUGUGUGCAGAGCAAAGGCAAAAUUGUGGAGCACUGGAAAUACCUUGUAGUGGAGUGAAACAUUUUAUUUAGAGAAGUAUAUGGAGACUCAACAGGAAAUAACAGAUAAUUAGGGUCAUGUAAGCUUUUCCUAAUUUUCUUUUCUUUCUUUCUUUUUAUUUAUUUAUUUUUAUUUUUGGUAGCAGGGAUUGACUCCAGGGGUACUUAACUACCAAGAUAUAUCACCAGCCCUUUUUAUUUUUAGUUUGAGCCAGG